rnacentral:lncRNA from 1 species
CCUGAGAGUUCUAGCUCGCGAAGACAUCAUCCAUUGGCUGAUUUAAGAGGAACAUGAUAGAAUUGAAGAAUAAGGAGACCCUCUCUUUUUCUUUCUGGAUCCAUGCAUCUGAUCUCUAUAAUAGAGAUCAAGAGAAGAAUCAUUUCUUCUCAAUUUUUCAUGUAUAAGAGAGAACCUUUUUUUCUUUCUUUCAUGCCCUUGAGAAGAAUUUUUUUUCUCUAAUUUUUUAUGAUAAAAAUUAGAUCUAAUCUGAUUUCUUAUAUUGAAAAUCACAUAAAAUUUUGAGAUCCAAAAAAAUCCAAAAGAAAAAUCCAAGAGAAGAACUG